CAAUAAGUCUCUGAGCAGGCCACACAUUCUUCGGCACUGUCCAGCACCAGAGCACCCCUGAUUCUCCCCAGAGAAAGCCGCAAGUUAUAUUUCCACCUUGAGUCUUUACAACUCGUCCAGGUCAGAAAAGCCCAGUCAUACAGAUCCAUGAAAGCUCCUCUGUGCAAUACUUGAGCCCACCCUCAGGUCAUCAGAAGAGCAGCUCUUUAUCUACACUGGUUAUCCCAAUAUUGGCCUAACUGGGUAAUCGGCCAAGUGAAAUUCUAUCUACCAUAGACAAAGACAUACAUAUAUUGAAUUAUUCCUCUGCUGCUCUGAACU